CCUACGGGUGGCAGCAGUGAGGAAUAUUGGUCAAUGGACGCAAGUCUGAACCAGCCAUGCCGCGUGCAGGAAGACGGCCCUAUGAGUUGUAAACUGCUUUUGUACGAGGGUAAACGCAGAUACGCGUAUCUGUCUGCAAGUAUCGUAUGAAUAAGGAUCGGCUAACUCCGUGCCAGCAGCCGCGGUAAUACGGAGGAUUCAAGCGUUAUCCGGAUUUAUUGGGUUUAAAGGGUGCGUAGGCGGUCGGAUAAGUUAGAGGUGAAAUCCCGAGGCUCAACUUCGGAAUUGCAUUUGAUACUGUUCGGCUAGAGAGUAGUUGAGGUAGGCGGAAUGUAUGGUGUAGCGGUGAAAUGCUUAGAGAUCAUACAGAACACCGAUUGCGAAGGCAGCUUACCAAGCUACUUCUGACGUUGAGGCACGAAAGCGUGGGGAGCAAACAGGAUUAGAUACCCCUGUAGUC
rnacentral:rRNA from 1 species